UAGUGUAUAAGUCAGGAAAGUUCCCCACAAUAGCGGGACCAUUCCCCUGCUUACUCAUGGCAAGGAGCUCCUGUCCUUAGGCUACAGCUUGCAGCUCAUCCUCUGUGACCCAGCACCAGCUAAUGGAUUCGUUCCUCAGUGGAUUCUCUGGAUGUUGAAAUCUUUAUUCAGCUCGCUGCUGGUGUGUGCGCGUUUGAGGGUAUCUGAGUCUGUUCCAUCCACCCUGUGUACAGCUGCUCUUGACCCUGUUUGAAGGUAACCUGGUCCUGACCCUGAGCUCCGAUUUCUGCCUUCGGCUCUGGCCUCUGGCUCUGACCCUUGGCUCCAAUUUCUGGCUACCAGCUCCUGCUCUAACCACUGGAUAUGACUCCUGCUCCAACCACUCAGCAUGACCACUCACGUCCUGUUCACUGACCUUGGGCCCAUCUCUGAUUGUUCAUCCCAAAAGUACAGCCACAGAGAUUCCCAGAUGAUGCUCGCUAAUGGGAAGCAUUUGCAGUGGUGCUGGAACAAUUUUUACAGUUGGGGUGCUGAAAGCCAGUGGUCCCCAAACUUUUUACCUGGCCCCUUCUUACCCUGUCUGUGCUCCCUCUCCCCCGAGUUGAGGCCAGGACUGGGCUGUGGAUCGGGGUAAGGUGACUCAGGCUGGGACCACACCUUGCGGGGCUAGUAGCGGGACCCUGUGUCUGGGACCAGCAGUGAAGCAUGGGGCCAGCAGCCGGGACCCCCGCAAACUGAUUAACUCCUUGCACCCCAAGUUCCCAUGCCUAUAAGCAUGUGUAGGCUCUCACUAGGUGAUUGCACCGUGUAACACACAGCUUGUAUGAAUAACUCCCAUGUUUGUUUUCCAGCCGCUAUAUUGAGAAUUGACAAUGAAAAUAUGUCUGUCACUACUGUGAAUGUAAAACUGUCUCUACUGAAAAGUAAAUACAUUCAAAAUUUCUA